UACAGAGGGUGCAAGCGUUGUUCGGAAUUAUUGGGCGUAAAGCGCGUGUAGGCGGCCUAGCAAGUCGGGCGUGAAAGCCCUCGGCUCAACCGAGGAAGUGCACCCGAAACUGCUGGGCUUGAGUGCCGGAGAGGAUGGCGGAAUUCCCCAAGUAGAGGUGAAAUUCGUAGAUAUGGGGAGGAACACCGGUGGCGAAGGCGGCCAUCUGGACAGUAACUGACGCUGAGACGCGAAAGCGUGGGUAGCAAACAGG
rnacentral:rRNA from 1 species